UACGUGGGUCCCGAGCGUUGUCCGGAUUUACUGGGCGUAAAGGGAGCGUAGGCGGACUUUUAAGUGAGAUGUGAAAUACUCGGGCUCAACUUGAGUGCUGCAUUUCAAACUGGAAGUCUAGAGUGCAGGAGAGGAGAAUGGAAUUCCUAGUGUAGCGGUGAAAUGCGUAGAGAUUAGGAAGAACACCAGUGGCGAAGGCGAUUCUCUGGACUGUAACUGACGCUGAGGCUCGAAAGCGUGGGGAGCAAACAGG
rnacentral:rRNA from 1 species